rnacentral:rRNA from 1 species
UACAGGGGGGGCAAGCGUUGUUCGGAAUUACUGGGCGUAAAGGGUUUGUAGGUGGCCACUUAAGUCAGACGUGAAAUCCCUCAGCUUAACUGGGGAACUGCGUCUGAUACUGCGUGGCUUGAGUGCAGGAGAGGAACGCGGAAUUCCAGGUGUAGCGGUGAAAUGCGUAGAGAUCAUGAGGAAGACCAGUGGCGAAGGCGGGUCUCUGGACAGUUCCUGACGCUGAGGCACGAAGGUCAGGGGAGCAAACGGG